rnacentral:rRNA from 1 species
GACGAACGCUGGCGGCGUGCUUAACACAUGCAAGUCGAACGAAGAGCGAUGGAAGCUUGCUUCUAUCAAUCUUAGUGGCGCACGGGUGAGUAACGCGUAAUCAACCUGCCCUUCAGAGGGGGACAACAGUUGGAAACGACUGCUAAUACCGCAUACGAUCUAAUCUCGGCAUCGAGGAUAGAUGAAAGGUGGCCUCUACAUGUAAGCUACCACUGAAGGAGGGGAUUGCGUCUGAUUAGCUAGUUGGAGGGGUAACGGCCCACCAAGGCGAUGAUCAGUAGCCGGUCUGAGAGGAUGAACGGCCACAUUGGGACUGAGACACGGCCCAGACUCCUACGGGAGGCAGCAGUGGGGAAUCUUCCGCAAUGGACGAAAGUCUGACGGAGCAACGCCGCGUGAGUGAUGACGGCCUUCGGGUUGUAAAGCUCUGUUAAUCGGGACGAAAGGCCUUCUUGCGAAUAGUGAGAAGGAUUGACGGUACCGGAAUAGAAAGCCACGGCUAACUACGUG